rnacentral:rRNA from 2 species
AAGGAUCAUUAUCGAAUAAACUUGAACAGGCUGUUUUGCUGGUCUUCCUUUGGGGGGGCAUGUGCACGCUUGUCAUCUUUAUCUCUCCAACUGUGCACAUAUUGUAGACCUGGAGUCUUCAUUGAUUCAAUUCGAGUUGGGACUGCUGUGCUUUUCUCAAAAUAGUCGGCUUUGCCUUGCAUCUCUUGGUCUAUGUCAUUUUCACAACCUCUCAAUGUGUCUAGAAUGUUGAAUCAGGUCCUUAUUGGUACCUAUAAAGUUGAAAUAAUACAACUUUCAGCAACGGAUCUCUUGGCUCUCGCAUCGAUGAAGAACGCAGCGAAAUGCGAUAAGUAAUGUGAAUUGCAGAAUUCAGUGAAUCAUCGAAUCUUUGAACGCAUCUUGCGCUCCUUGGUAUUCCGAGGAGCAUGCCUGUUUGAGUGUCAUUUAAUUUCUCAACCACCUCGAUUUCUUGAUUGGCGUGGCUUGGAUGUGGGGGGAUUUAUUUUGCAGGCUUCCUGAAUCAUGAGGUCGGCUCCCCUGAAAUACAUUAGUAGUAUCUGAGCAGAGGAAGCUACUACAGGUGUGAUAAAUAUCUAUGCCUUGGUAUGUGCUGCAUGAACAGAUCACACUGCUUCUAACAAGUGGAAUCCCCCUUCUAAGGGGGAGGACACAUUUGAUGAAUUUGACCUCAAAUCAGGUAGGACUACCCGCUGAACUUAA